rnacentral:rRNA from 1 species
CCUACGGGUGGCAGCAGUGAGGAAUCUUGGUCAAUGGGCGUAAGCCUGAACCAGCCAAGUCGCGUGAGGGAUGAAGGUUCUAUGGAUCGUAAACCCCUUUUAUAAGGGAGUAAGGUCCGGGACGUGUCUCGUUUUGUAUGUACCUUAUGAAUACGGAUCGGCUCACUCCGUUCCAGCAGCCGCGGUAAUACGGAGGAUCCGAGCGUUAUCCGGAUUUAUUGGGUUUAACGGGUGCGUAGGCGGCCUUUUAAGUCAGCGGUGAAAGUCUGUGGCUCAACCAUAGAAUUGCCGUUGAAACUGGGAGGCUUGAGUAUGUUUGAGGCAGGCGGAAUGCGUGGUGUAGCGGUGAAAUGCUUAGAUAUAACGCAGAACCCCGAUUGCGAAGGCAGCAGACCGGCGCUCAACUGACGCUCAUGCACGAAAGUGUGGGUAUCGAACAGGAUUAGAUACCCUGGUAGUC